rnacentral:rRNA from 1 species
UACGUAGGGUGCGAGCGUUAAUCGGAAUUACUGGGCGUAAAGUGUGCGCAGGCGGCCGAGCAAGUCGAGUGUGAAAGCCCCGAGCUUAACUUGGGAACUGCGCUCGAAACUACUUGGCUAGAGUGUGGCAGAGGGAGGUGGAAUUCCACGUGUAGCGGUGAAAUGCGUAGAUAUCUGGAGGAACACCGGUGGCGAAGGCGGCAUUCUGGACUGUAACUGACACUGAGGAACGAAAGCCAGGGGAGCAAACGGG